AUACUUACCUGGCAAGGGAGAUACCGUGAUCAAGAAGGCGGUUCACCCAGGGCGAGGCUCAGCCAUUGCACUCCGGCUGUGCUGACCCCUGCGAAUUUCCCAAAUGUGGAAAUCUCGAUUGCAUAAUUUAUGGUAGUGGGGGACUGCGUUCGCGCUCUCCCCUG
ensembl:snRNA U1 U1 spliceosomal RNA